UACGGAGGGUGCGAGCGUUGUCCGGAAUCAUUGGGCGUAAAGGGCGCGUAGGCGGCUCUGUUAGUCAGGCGUGAAAGUCCUGGGCUCAACCUGGGAACUGCGCUUGAUACGGCAGGGCUAGAGGAUGGAAGAGGGUCGCGGAAUUCCCAGUGGUAGAGGUGAAAAUUCGUAGAUAUCGGGAGGAACACCGGUGGCGAAGGCGGCGACCUGGGUAGAUACGUGACGCUGAGGCGCGAAACGGUGGGGAGCAAACAGGG
rnacentral:rRNA from 1 species